AUGAUCAAAUUGUAUCAGUUCUAUCUUUAUAUUGUGAAACACUUGAGAACAACAAAAGUAUUUGUUAACGAAAAUCUUUGAUCAUGCUCUGGCAGGUGGGGAUUUCUUUUUGUCUUCUUGACAAACUGAAUGUCAUUGUGACACAUCUUGGUAGAUAUUUCUUUCAUAUCAUGAAACCUACUUGUCAAGUAGAUUAUUUGACAGGCAGCAUUAUGCAGGUCUUAACGAUAUAUCUGCUGCAAUAGUUGUUUGGCAAUUCCAGUUGGUGUAACAAGCAACCAAACCAUUCUCUACCUUGAGUUUCCUUCGAAUAUGGUGUCUCUCUCUGACGCUUACUCACACAUAUGCACAAAUGUACUAGUGCCCUUUAUUUGGCAGUGUUUUAUUAAUAAACAUGUUAACGUAAAGUUGUUAAACAUGAGUGUUAGGAGGGACUUGUAUUGGAUUUGGCUCCUCACCGGAUCCCCUCCCUGGGGAUCCUAGGGAUCAACACAUGGGGACCGUUGAUAAAAAAUCGUGCGGUCGUAAUUUUUUAUUUUAUUUUAUAUUUUUCAUGCAAAACGAGACUGCUUUACUUUUAAAAAUUUAAAAAGCAUUUAAUUAAGACCGCACGAUUUUUUUAUCAACGGUCUCCGUGCGUUGAUCCCUAGGAUCCCCAGAGAGGGGAUCCGGCAAGGAUCCAAAUCCACUUGUAUUACACAUGGUAUCGUAAUUACUGAAGUUUAAUCAAGUUCCUUAGUACCUCUGUUUUCCUGGUUUUUUCUCUUCAUCUUUUCAUUUCUAAUGUCAUAUUUCUUGGGAGUAGCAAUAUGGAAAAUGUUGGAUGAUGUGCCAAUCCAGUCUUUGUUCCUAAUGCAUUUUUGUAGGUUUGCUCUUUCUUGAUGGGGUGGUUGGGUGUUGUUUUCAAAGGAGAUAUAUCGUAUACGUCCGAUUAUUUGGCCAUUGGAUUGUCAACCGGUUACUUGGGAAGCCUUACAUCUUUUAGCGGUGGGAACCAGAAAGUGCUUGAACUUAAGUGUUGAAGGCCAUUGGGUUUUUGCUGAUGUCAUAUUUACAUGUAGCUGGCUAUGGCUAGCGUAAUGUUUGAAUUUCAUUUGAAUCUAGCUGGUCUCAGCUUUGAUGCCUAUUAUCCAGGGAUUAAUCACAAACCCAAUGUUGCUCAAAUUGCUGGACUGAUCUGAGCUUCUCUUUCAUGUGACGGAUUAUAUCAGGUUUGUUUCUUGCCACCAACUCCAUCAUUUUCGGGGUAGAGACAGCAAAGUGUUUUAGGCAGCUUAUUGAGAGAAACUCAGUAUGUGGUAUCACUAGCUCUAUAAGGAGCUUGAGGGUUGAUAGCUACAAGCGUCACUUGGUAGCUUUAGCAGUGUUGUUGUGGUUGGGUUGCAUAGUUGGACCUCUUGGUGUGCGGAUCCGGUGGUUUUUAGCCCUGCUUAAUGGCCGUGGAUUAGGAAGGCGGGGUUGUUGAAAUGGGUUCCAUUUGGUACUCUAAUUGCCAAUGUUUCUGCAGCUUGUGUCAUGGCUGCCCUGUCUUCUGUGAAGAAAGCGGUAAGUGCUUGUGAUAUGAUCUUCCUCCACAUCCACUUCAUGACGUCAUCCUCACCGUUACUUUUUGUGUUUUAUGGUCUUCGGAAAGCUUACAGUUCACAUAUAUUUGUCACAUUAUAAACUGCCAAGUUUGUUACUUUGGGCUCUUUUUCUCUCGUCGAGGUUUUAGAAGCUUCUUGGGGGAAUUCUUGAAGUGUACUCGUUUCUUUUACAAUGUUCUGCGUGUUACCUUUGUCCUGCGUUUUCUUGGUCCAUGAAAAUCUAACGAAAUAUAUCCUUCAGAACCUUUUCUGUUUGCUCAGAUGAACACUAAGACUAGUGACAUUGUUGCAACAGGCAUACAAUUUGGAUUUCUGGGUUGCACGAGUACUGUUUCUACCUUCAUUGCUGAGUUCAAUGAGAUGAGAGAGAGCAAAUAUUCUCGGAGAGCAUACGCAUACGCCAUGGCUACGAUAUGCACCUCGUUUGGUUUGGGGUUCAUGAUAUAUUGUGUACCUGUUUGAACAAAGGGAUACAAGUAGUUGCAUGCUCAGGCCAUUGUUUUGACGUCUAAUCUGUGGCUAUACCUUGAGAUUUUAUUCACCCUCACUGGCUUCAAUCUGACCGAAGGACAGGGCACCCUUCUGCCUCUUGAGUGUGUCACAGAAUCUGGCGGGAGAUACUUACACGAAAUAUUUUUCUUGUAUCCGUCUCUGCCCUCAGGCGUUGUGACAGAUGCAUGGGGGUAUGCACCUGGUUUCAUGUUAGUUUCUGUCAUCUCGCAGAAGUAUCUCCAGAUCGGGCUGCAACCAAUGCUAGCUUGGACACCGCCAAGUUCUUAUUGUACAACAGGUUAGUUCUUUCUUGAUGGGGUGGUUGGGAACCGGUUACUUAGGAAGCCUUACAUCUUUCAACGGUUCGAACCAGAAAUGCUUGAACCAGAAAUGCUUGAACUCAGUGUUGAAGGCCUUUGGGUGUUUGAUCUGCUCUGUUUUUUAAUAGGUAAGAUGUCAUACUCUAAAGAAUUGCUGCAGUAUACAUGUGGCUGGCCAUGGCAAGCAUAACGUUUGAAUUUCAUUUGAAUCUAGUUGGUUUCGGCUUUGAUGCCUAUUAUCCAGGGACUUCUCAAGAGGUCACCCAUUCUAGUACUACUCUUACCCAAACUCGCUUAACUUCGGAGUUCUGAUGGCAUUUGGUGCAUAUGAGUUGGUAUGAUUGCAUUCAUUAGUUUAUGACUUGUAAUUUUAUAUAACCAUUUCUUUGGCCAUGACUAA